rnacentral:rRNA from 1 species
UACGGGGGGGGGCAAGCGUUGUUCGGAAUUACUGGGCGUAAAGGGUUCGUAGGUGGCCUGCUAAGUCAGACGUGAAAUCCCUCAGCUUAACUGGGGAACUGCGUCUGAGACUGGUGGGCUUGAGUGCAGGAGAGGAACGCGGAAUUCCAGGUGUAGCGGUGAAAUGCGUAGAUAUUGGGAGGAACACCAGUGGCGAAGGCGGCUACCUAGACCGGUUCUGACGCUGAUGCGCGAAAGCGUGGGUAGCAAACAGG